GGCCAGGUUGACCGGAAGGGUUUCCUUCCGAUCGAUGAGGUAGAUGUACCUCAUCAAUCGGAGGGGUUUCCUUCCGGUUGAUGAGGUACAUGUACCUCGUUGACCAGAAGGAAACCCUUCCAAUCAGCAAGGUA
rnacentral:miRNA from 1 species